rnacentral:lncRNA from 1 species
GGGUAAUGGCCAAUGCGAACGUUUCAAUCGCACAUUAUUGAGUAUGCUUGGCACAUUACAGAAUCACCAGAAAGCCGAUUGGAAAUCAUACCUUGGUCCAAUUGUUCACGCAUAUAACAGCACAAAACAGGAAACAACAGGAUUUUCACCAUUUGCUCUGAUGUUUGGCAGAGAACCACGCCUGCCUAUAGAUCUUGCACUAGGAAUAGAAACAACGAAAGAACAGAAGACAAAUACGAAGUAUGUUGAGAAUUUAAAAGAAAGACUGAAGAAAUCGUAUGAGUUAGCUACGAAUUCAGCAAAGAUAGCUCAAGGACGUCAGAAGAAACAUUAUGACAACAAAGUGCGUGGAGCCAUAUUACAUCCAGGCGACCGAGUACUCGUAAAGAUUCUGAGUUUCGAUGGAAAGCACAAACUAUCUGAUAAAUGGGAGAAUGACAGCUACGUCAUAUUAGAUCAGCCUAACUCCACUAUCCCAGUCUUUACAGUGAGAAAGGAAAGCGGACAUGGCAGAAAGAGAACCUUACAUAGGAACCUUCUUUUGCCUAUUGGUUCAGUUUCCAUCGAUGAAGAUGAAGAAAAGGAGAAGCCUAGACCUACUCCUGCACCACGAUUAAGACCCAGGAAGAAUAAAGAAAUAGAUCCACAACCAACG